rnacentral:rRNA from 1 species
UACGUAGGGGGCAAGCGUUGUCCGGAUUUAUUGGGCGUAAAGAGCGUGUAGGCGGCCAUUCAGGUCAGCUGUGAAAACUCGAGGCUCAACCUCGAGACGUCGGUUGAAACCGUUUGGCUAGAGUCCGGAAGAGGAGAGUGGAAUUCCCGGUGUAGCGGUGAAAUGCGCAGAUAUCGGGAAGAACACCCGUGGCGAAGGCGGCUCUCUGGGCCGGUACUGACGCUGAGGAGCGAAAGCGUGGGGAGCGAACAGG